rnacentral:rRNA from 1 species
ACCUCAAAUCAGGUAAGAAUACCCGCUGAACUUAAGCAUAUCAAUAAGCGGAGGAAAAGAAAAUAACAAUGAUUCCCUCAGUAACGGCGAGCGAAGAGGGAUAAGCUCAAAUUUUAAAUCUGUUGGGUUCCACUUAACAGAGUUGUAUUUUGAAGAAACGUUUUCUGCAUCCAGGAUUAGCCUAAAUCCUUUGGGAUAAGGUAUCAUGGAGGGUGAGAAUCCCGUUCAUGGUUAAUCUUAAGGAAGCUCUACGAUACGUUUUCCAAGAGUCGAGUUGUUUGGGAUUGCAGCUCAAAAUGGGAGGUAAAUUUCUCCUAAGGCUAAAUAUUGGCGAGAGACCGAUAGCGAACAAGUACCGUGAGGGAAAGAUGAAAAGAACUUUGAAAAGAGAGUUAAACAGUACGUGAAAUUGUUGAAAGGGAAACGAUUGAAGUCAGUCAUACCAACGGGAAAUCAACCUUUUGAGCUCGGUCUCGUGGGUUUUGAAGAGUUUCAAAGCCUUCGGAUUCGCGGGAUUGGGAUCUCUUGGUGUACUUUUUCGUACGGUUAGUCAACAUCGGUUUUGAAUGUCAUAAAAUGACUGGAGGAAUGUAGCUUCGAUCUCGUAUUGAAGUGUUAUAGCCUUUGGUAGAUGUGAUGUUUGAGACCGAGGAUUGCAACGGAUACCCUUCAGGGCUAUUCGUCUGAUCUCUGAUACGUUGCCUUGAUGUUGAAAGCUUGCUUAUGAUGUUAGGGUAUUACGGUCAAAAGGUUAGAACGGAUUAGAUUCGUUAAGGAUGUUGACGUAAUGACUUUAAACGACCCGUCUUGAAACACGGACCAAGGAGUCUAACAUAUAUGCGAGUGUUA